AAACAUUGAAGAGAAGGGAAAACAGUAGAAAGAAACAAAAGGAAAAAAAAGGAAAAGAAAAGAGAACAUACAUAAAUUCUGGCGAGAAUAACAUUUGGAGAAGACAGAAAAAGGCAAAAACCAAAAGUUGAAAAGAAACAAAAGAAGAAGAAAAAACAAAAAACAGAAAGAAAAAAAUAAAGCUAAAAAAAAGGGUUAGGGUUUGAGUUUGGGGUCUUGUUCGAUUUUUUGGUGACAACGUUCUUGCAUCGAUACUUGAUUUAAUUUGUAAUACAGGUUUUAUCUCAUAUUAUAUUAUAUUUCAUAAGUUUAUCAUAAAUAAAAGCAUGAAUGAAGUUGUUCCAACGACUUGUUACAUUAUUUAGCUUGUGUAAUUGGUUAUUUUUAUAUAGUUCGCACUUUAUGUCUUUGUCUAUCACUCGUUUAUUGGCUUGGAAUAAUGUUGGUUAGAUUAGUUUUGAAUUUUGAAUGAUAUUUUUUAAAAAAAAUUAAUAAUAUUAAAGGAUUGUAAGUUACAUAUAGUUUAUGAAUAAUUAGAAAGUAGUUAGGGUAAAUCUUACUAUGUGACCCAUGCAUACAUGAAAGAAAAUAAUAAUAAAAAUACACCCACAUGCACACAUUUUACUACACUAAACAAAGAUAUCAAUAGAAAAUUAAGAAGAGAAACAGUGAGCAAAAAGAAAAAAAAAUAAGGGAGAAAAAGGAAAUUCUUUGAGGUUUCUUUCAAAGCCGAAGUUUUUUUUAUGGUUUGAAUUGGAAAGGUUUGUCUUUGUUGUGUAAUAGUGUUGUAAUUUUGUUCCAUGAAUACGAGCCCUAAUACCAGAUAACUUUUCUUCCUCUUUCAAUCUCCCCUUAUUUAUUAAUUUAAUUAUAAUAUAGUAACCCAUAUGAUCUUAUUAUAAGUUUAGGACUCCCUCUUACAUUGUUUUCUUGAAUUAAUAGUUCCUCCUCUUCGUCAAAAAAUCGCGCUUUCCUUUUUUUUUUUGGCCGAGCUAUUUUUUUUACUAUUUAUUUAUUAUGAUUAUUGGACAUUGAAAGAGGGAUUGAAAUUGUGGGGUUGAAUUCUUGAAAAUGAAAAGAGUAAAAUGGAUAAGAUAAAAUUGUCUCAAGUUCACAGGAGAUGAAACUAAUGCCUUUAGCACUAGACGAGCUUUAGGCACGUUUUAAAAUAUUUAUCUCGAUUAAGAAUGCGGAGUAUACAUCUUUUUGAGAUGUUAAAAAUAAUUUGAGGAUGUAACAAUGCACCUCGACAAAGAUCGUCUUAAAAAUUAAUUAACUUUCACCGAUUUGUUUAAUAUAAAAUAUAUAGACAAUUUUAGUAUAAUAAAUAUGAGCAAAAUUAGGCCUCAACAUAAUUUUUCAAAAAUAAUUUAAGUCAAGAUAAGUCAAUAAAAGUGACCGUGCUGGAACUACGGGACUCUAGGGGUGCCUCACACCUUCUUCUCGGUUAACAGAAUUUCUUACUCAGUCUUUUGUUUUCACAAGCCAUAAUAAAGAGUCAUUUCCUUUGACUAGGGAUUCAAAAUGGUGACUUGGAACACCAUAACUCAAUUUCAAGUAGUGACUCUGUAAUUAAAACAAUCCCUACUCAAAAUCGUCACUUUAAUUGGAAAAAUCCUUCGACUUCGACCUUCAACUCCUGCGAGUGAAAAAGGGGUGUGACAUCUCUGGCGACUCUGCUGGGGACUAAUAAGAAUUUGGGCUUUUUAUAUUGACUUAUACUUGCUUUAAUUAUUGUUGAUAUUGUGUUUGUUGGCUUUAUGUGCUACUUGUCACUUAUUUACUGCUUUGAUAUUGAUUGAACUGUAUUAUAUAAUGUCUGUUAUUGUGCAGCCCCUCUGAGUCUCUGAAAUAGGAUAGAAGGAAUGUAG
rnacentral:lncRNA from 1 species